GACGAACGCUGGCGGCGUGCUUAACACAUGCAAGUCGAACGGUAAGGCCCUUCGGGGUACACGAGUGGCGAACGGGUGAGUAACACGUGGGUGAUCUGCCCUGCACUUCGGGAUAAGCCUGGGAAACUGGGUCUAAUACCGGAUAGGACUCCUGCCUGCAUGGGUGGGGGUGGAAAGCUUUUGCGGUGUGGGAUGGGCCCGCAGCCUAUCAGCUUGUUGGUGGGGUGAUGGCCUACCAAGGCGACGACGGGUAGCCGGCCUGAGAGGGUGACCGGCCACACUGGGACUGAGAUACGGCCCAGACUCCUACGGGAGGCAGCAGUGGGGAAUAUUGCACAAUGGGCGCAAGCCUGAUGCAGCGACGCCGCGUGAGGGAUGACGGCCUUCGGGUUGUAAACCUCUUUCAGCACCGACGAAGCGCAAGUGACGGUAGGUGCAGAAGAAGGACCGGCCAACUACGUGCCAGCCGCCGCCGUAA
rnacentral:rRNA from 1 species